rnacentral:rRNA from 1 species
AGAGUUUGAUCAUGGCUCAGGAUAAACGCUGGCGGCGUGCCUAACACAUGCAAGUCGAACGCCCUUUCGAAAGGAAGGGAGUGGCGGACGGGUGAGUAACACGUGGGUCAUCUACCUUCAGGUGAGGGAUACCGGGGAGAAAUCGUCGACAAGCCCGCAUAGCUUUCUUGGUGGACAAGAAAGAAAGUCGAGAGGCGCCU